UACAGAGGGUGCGAGCGUUAAUCGGAAUUACUGGGCGUAAAGGGUGCGUAGGUGGUUGAAUAAGUUAGGUGUGAAAUUCCCGGGCUUAACCUGGGGACUGCGCCUGAUACUGUUUAGCUAGAGUACUGUAGAGGAAAGUGGAAUUUCCGGUGUAGCGGUGAAAUGCGUAGAUAUCGGAAGGAACACCAGUGGCGAAAGCGACUUUCUGGACAGAUACUGACACUGAGGCACGAAAGCGUGGGGAGCAAACAGG
rnacentral:rRNA from 1 species